CGGCGUGCUUAACACAUGCAAGUCGAACGGAAAGGCCCUGCUUUUGUGGGGUGCUCGAGUGGCGAACGGGUGAGUAACACGUGAGUAACCUGCCCUUGACUUUGGGAUAACUUCAGGAAACUGGGGCUAAUACCGGAUAGGAGCUCCUGCUGCAUGGUGGGGGUUGGAAAGUUUCGGCGGUUGGGGAUGGACUCGCGGCUUAUCAGCUUGUUGGUGGGGUAGUGGCUUACCAAGGCUUUGACGGGUAGCCGGCCUGAGAGGGUGACCGGCCACAUUGGGACUGAGAUACGGCCCAGACUCCUACGGGAGGCAGCAGUGGGGAAUAUUGCACAAUGGGCGGAAGCCUGAUGCAGCAACGCCGCGUGCGGGAUGACGGCCUUCGGGUUGUAAACCGCUUUCGCCUGUGACGAAGCGUGAGUGACGGUAAUGGGUAAAGAAGCACCGGCUAACUACGUGCCAGCAGCCGCGGUGAUACGUAGGGUGCGAGCGUUGUCCGGAUUUAUUGGGCGUAAAGGGCUCGUAGGUGGUUGAUCGCGUCGGAAGUGUAAUCUUGGGGCUUAACCCUGAGCGUGCUUUCGAUACGGGUUGACUUGAGGAAGGUAGGGGAGAAUGGAAUUCCUGGUGGAGCGGUGGAAUGCGCAGAUAUCAGGAGGAACACCAGUGGCGAAGGCGGUUCUCUGGGCCUUUCCUGACGCUGAGGAGCGAAAGCGUGGGGAGCGAACAGGCUUAGAUACCCUGGUAGUCCACGCUGUAAACGGUGGGUACUAGGUGUGGGGUCCAUUCCACGGGUUCCGUGCCGUAGCUAACGCUUUAAGUACCCCGCCUGGGGAGUACGGCCGCAAGGCUAAAACUCAAAGGAAUUGACGGGGCCCCGCACAAGCGGCGGAGCAUGCGGAUUAAUUCGAUGCAACGCGUAGAACCUUACCUGGGUUUGACAUGGAUCGGGAGUGCUCAGAGAUGGGUGUGCCUCUUUUGGGGUCGGUUCACAGGUGGUGCAUGGCUGUCGUCAGCUCGUGUCGUGAGAUGUUGGGUUAAGUCCCGCAACGAGCGCAACCCUUGUUCACUGUUGCCAGCACGUUAUGGUGGGGACUCAGUGGAGACCGCCGGGGUCAACUCGGAGGAAGGUGGGGAUGACGUCAAGUCAUCAUGCCCCUUAUGUCCAGGGCUUCACGCAUGCUACAAUGGCUGGUACAGAGAGUGGCGAGCCUGUGAGGGUGAGCGAAUCUCGGAAAGCCGGUCUCAGUUCGGAUUGGGGUCUGCAACUCGACCUCAUGAAGUCGGAGUCGCUAGUAAUCGCAGAUCAGCAACGCUGCGGUGAAUACGUUCCCGGGGCUUGUACACACCGCCCGUCAAGUCAUGAAAGUUGGUAACACCCGAAGCCGGUGGCCUAACCGUUGUGGGGGAGCCGUCGAAGGUGGGACUGGUGAUUAGGACUAA
rnacentral:rRNA from 1 species